CCUACGGGCGGCAGCAGUGAGGAAUAUUGGUCAAUGGACGAGAGUCUGAACCAGCCAAGUAGCGUGAAGGAUGACUGUCCUAUGGAUUGUAAACUUCUUUUAUAAAGGAAUAAAACGAGGCACGUGUGCCUGUUUGCAUGUACUUUAUGAAUAAGGAUCGUCUAACUCCGUGCCAGCAGCCGCGGUAAUACGGAGGAUCCGAGCGUUAUCCGGAUUUAUUGGGUUUAAAGGGAGCGUAGAUGGGUUUUUAAGUCAGUGGUGAAAGUUUGGGGCUCAACCGUAAACUUGCAAUUGAUACUGACAGUCUUGAGUAGAGUUGAGGUAGGCGGAAUUCGUGGUGUAGCGGUGAAAUGCAUAGAUAUCACGAAGAACUCCGAUUGCGAAGGCAGCAUACUAACCUGUGACUGACAUUGAUGCUCGAAAGUGUGGGUAUCAAACAGGAUUAGAUACCCUGGUAGUC
rnacentral:rRNA from 1 species